rnacentral:rRNA from 1 species
UAACCGUAUAGGGGAGCCGUAGGGAAACCGAGUCUUAACCGGGCGUUAAGUUGCAGGGUAUAGACCCGAAACCCGGUGAUCUAGCCAUGGGCAGGUUGAAGGUUGGGUAACACUAACUGGAGGACCGAACCGACUAAUGUUGAAAAAUUAGCGGAUGACCUGUGGCUGGGGGUGAAAGGCCAAUCAAACCGGGAGAUAGCUGGUUCUCCCCGAAAGCUAUUUAGGUAGCGCCUCGUGAAUUCAUCUCCGGGGGUAGAGC